ACGUACCGUCCAAACGUUAUUCGGUAUCACUGGGCUUAAAGCGUUCGUAGGCGGCCUGGUAGGUGAGGUGUGAAAGCCCACGGCUCAACCGUGGAAUUGCGCUUCAAACCACCAGGCUUGAGGAAGACAGGGGUGUUGGGAACUUAUGGUGGAGCGGUGAAAUGCGUUGAUAUCAUAGGGAACACCGGUGGCGAAGGCGCAACACUGGGUCUUUUCUGACGCUGAGGAACGAAAGCUAGGGUAGCGAACGGG
rnacentral:rRNA from 1 species